rnacentral:rRNA from 1 species
GACGGAGGAUGCAAGUGUUAUCCGGAAUCACUGGGCGUAAAGCGUCUGUAGGUGGUCCAAUAAGUCAACUGUUAAAUCUUGGGGCUCAACCUCAAAAUCGCAGUCGAAACUAUUAGACUAGAGUAUAGUAGAGGUAAAGGGAAUUUCCAGCGGAGCGGUGAAAUGCGUAGAUAUUGGAAAGAACACCGAUGGCGAAGGCACUUUACUGGGCUAUUACUAACACUCAGAGAAGAAAGCUAGGGUAGCAAAUGGG